GGCUAUAACUCAGUGGUAGAGUGCUUGCCUAGCAUGCAUGAUGCCCUAGGUUCAAUUCCUACUACUGCCA
rnacentral:tRNA from 1 species